rnacentral:lncRNA from 1 species
GAGGUCCCACCUCUAUCCAGCUGGGAGGCCUUGGUGUCCCCACCUGCACACAAAGGCACAGGAGCAGGUAGUCACAGAGCCCAGAGCAGCAGGCAGCCUCACACGCUGCCCACAGCAGUGCCCAGCGGGCCCCCGAGCCCUCAUGCAUCCCUGAGCCGUGAGCACCCAACGUGCCAAGGCUCCUGCCACCCACCUUUGCCCACCCACAGGCCUGCCUGCUGCUCCAGAAGACCCUGUCCAUGCGGGAGGUGAGGUCGUGCUUUGAGGACCCCGAGUGGAAGCAGCUGAUGGGCCAGGUCCUAGCAAAGGUCACCGAGGUAACAGCCGGGGGGCGCCCUUUCCCCACCCCCUCAGAAUCAGUUCUCCGGGAGACCGAUCUCUGGGAAAGAAGUGAGGAUUGGAGCCUGAGUCCAGAGUCGGGAGAACUGGGGUUGUCCCAGGAGACGGUCCCUGCCUCUGGGCUUUACUUCCGGCUGGGAAACAGAAAGGCUUUGAGCAGCUCUCCGGAGUGCCUCAGCCUGGCCACCCUUCCCUAGAACUUGCGCGUGCUGGGGGAGGCGCAGACCAAGGCGCAGCAUCAGCAGGCACUGUCCUCCCUGGAGCUGCUCAACGUUCUCUUCAGGACCUGCAAACAUGAGAAGCUGACCUUGGACCUGACGGUGCUCCUGGGUGUGCUGCAGGGGCAAC